CCUACGGGUGGCAGCAGUGAGGAAUAUUGGUCAAUGGACGCGAGUCUGAACCAGCCAAGUAGCGUGAAGGAUGACGGCCCUAUGGGUUGUAAACUUCUUUUAUAUGGGAAUAAAAUGUUCCACGUGUGGGUUUUUGUAUGUACCACAUGAAUAAGGAUCGGCUAAUUCCGUGCCAGCAGCCGCGGUAAUACGGAGGGUCCGAGCGUUAUCCGGAUUUAUUGGGUUUAAAGGGAGCGUAGGUGGAUUGUUAAGUCAGUUGUGAAAGUCUGCGGCUCAACCGUAGAACUGCAGUUGAAACUGGCAGUCUUGAGUACAGUAGAGGUGGGCGGAAUUCGUGGUGUAGCGGUGAAAUGCUUAGAUAUCACGAAGAACUCCGAUUGCGAAGGCAGCUCACUGGACUGCAACUGACGCUGAGGCUCGAAAGUGUGGGUAUCAAACAGGAUUAGAUACCCGAGUAGUC
rnacentral:rRNA from 1 species